rnacentral:rRNA from 1 species
UACGUAGGGGGCAAGCGUUGUCCGGAUUUAUUGGGCGUAAAAGGCUUGUAGGUGGCCAUGCGAAGUCGGAUGUGAAAUCUCCCGGCUCAACUGGGAGGGGUCAUUCGAUACUGUCGGGCUCGAGUCCGGAAGAGGCGAGUGGAAUUCCUGGUGUAGCGGUGAAAUGCGCAGAUAUCAGGAGGAACACCAAUGGCGAAGGCAGCUCGCUGGGACGUGACUGACGCUGAGACGCGAAAGCGUGGGGAGCAAACAGG